AACGCACCUUGCGCUCCUUGGUAUUCCGAGGAGCAUGCCUGUUUGAGUGUCAUGGAAUUCUCAACCUUUGAAAGCUUUUAUCGGUUCUCAAAGGCUUGGACUUGGAGGUCGUGUCGGCUCUGCAAAGAAUAUCGACUCCUCUGAAACGUAUCAGUGCGAACCUUUACGGAUCGUCUUCGGUGUGAUAAACGUCUACGCCGUGGUCGUGAAGUAUGAUCGUGUCCGUGCUUCUAACCGUCCAUUGACUUGGACAGCUCUUUUGACAAUUUGACCUCAAAUCAGGUAGGACUACCCGCUGAACUUAA
rnacentral:rRNA from 1 species